UACGAAGGGGGCUAGCGUUGUUCGGAUUUACUGGGCGUAAAGCGCACGUAGGCGGGCUAUUAAGUCAGGGGUGAAAUCCCGGGGCUCAACCCCGGAACUGCCUUUGAUACUGGUAGUCUAGAGUCCGAGAGAGGUGAGUGGAAUUCCGAGUGUAGAGGUGAAAUUCGUAGAUAUUCGGAGGAACACCAGUGGCGAAGGCGGCUCACUGGCUCGGUACUGACGCUGAGGUGCGAAAGCGUGGGGAGCAAACAGG
rnacentral:rRNA from 1 species